UGGUAUUUAGAACUAAUGAAGGAAAAUAGGAAAGGCAUUGUUUCUUGAAUGUGGAUGAUUUUUUAUAUGAAUUCUUAUUUUGGAAUGAGGGCAUGAUUCCAGUGUAUAAAUUAUGUAAGCCUUUGCUCAAAACAAUAAACUGGUAAUAGUUUAGUUUCUUUCAUGCGUGUGGUCAAGAGUUCUCCAACCUUAUUUUUGGGACCUUUCUAAAAAUUGCCCAUGUUAUUUGUCAAAACCUGGACUGGAUCAGCCAACUGGUUGAACUUUUUGCUUAGCUGGCUUUGACUUGGAUUCACUCUUCAGAGUCAUCUGGGUGUGAUUCAUGAAGGCUUCCUGAUUUAAUCGACUGAUAUAGUGUGGUCCAUCAACUUUGAAAGUCACAUGCCUAUUUAUUGAACUAAAUAAUCCAUAAAGAAACAAAAGGAGACUUGCUACUGCAUCAUAAUGCGUCCCAAGAGUGAAGUGGACAGAUUGGAAUAGUUUGUUAUUUGUGCAUUUAUGGUAGAAUAUACAUGUAAAUUAGGAACAUCAGUGAAAGGGUAAAAUGUUAUUUGUGGAUGUACAGAGUAAGGAAUUAAGAGAGAAAUAAAUUUGCCAAAUGAGAUGCGAUGCUGCUGGAAAUUAAUGCAGCGAAUUUAAAGAAAAAAAGAGAUAACUAAAGAGAGUGUGCUAUAGAGAAAAAGAAGAAAAGGAAAAUAGCGAAUGCAACAUAUGCAUGCUUUUAAAGGCUAGCCAACCAAAACAUUGAUAUUGCAUUGUCAAAAGCCUUGGAAAGAUAUGAAGAUUGAUAGUUAUUCACAAGGAGUGGACAGUUCUUUUAAUAUGAGCAUUCUUAACAAG
rnacentral:misc_RNA from 1 species